CCUACGGGUGGCUGCAGUGAGGAAUAUUGGUCAAUGGACGAGAGUCUGAACCAGCCAAGUAGCGUGAAGGAUGAAUGCCCUAUGGGUUGUAAACUUCUUUUAUAUGGGAAUAAAAUGUUCCACGUGUGGGAUUUUGUAUGUACCAUAUGAAUAAGGAUCGGCUAACUCCGUGCCAGCAGCCGCGGUAAUACGGAGGAUCCGAGCGUUAGCCGGAUUUAUUGGGUUUAAAGGGAGCGUAGGUGGAUUGUUAAGUCAGUUGUGAAAGUUUGCGGCUCAACCGUAAAAUUGCAGUUGAAACUGGCAGUCUUGAGUACAGUAGAGGUUGGCGGAAUGCGUGGUGUAGCGGUGAAAUGCUUAGAUAUCACGAAGAACUCCGAUUGCGAAGGCAGUUCACUGGACUGCAACUGACACUGAGGCUCGAAAGUGUGGGUAUCAAACAGGAUUAGAUACCCCAGUAGUC
rnacentral:rRNA from 1 species